AUUGAACGCUGGCGGCAGGCCUAACACAUGCAAGUCGAACGGUAACAGGAAGCAGCUUGCUGCUUCGCUGACGAGUGGCGGACGGGUGAGGAAUGUCUGGGAAGCUGCCUGAUGGAGGGGGAUAACUACUGGAAACGGUAGCUAAUACCGCAUAAUGUCGCAAGACCAAAGAGGGGGACCUUCGGGCCUCUUGCCAUCGGAUGUGCCCAGAUGGGAUUAGCUUGUUGGUGGGGUAACGGCUCACCAAGGCGACGAUCCCUAGCUGGUCUGAGAGGAUGACCAGCCACACUGGAACUGAGACACGGUCCAGACUCCUACGGGAGGCAGCAGUGGGGAAUAUUGCACAAUGGGCGCAAGCCUGAUGCAGCCAUGCCGCGUGUAUGAAGAAGGCCUUCGGGUUGUAAAGUACUUUCAGCGGGGAGGAAGGGAGUAAAGUUAAUACCUUUGCUCAUUGACGUUACCCGCAGAAGAAGCACCGGCUAACUCCGUG
rnacentral:rRNA from 1 species